UUAUUGGGCGUAAGCGAGCGCAGGCGGUCUUUUAAGUCUAAUGUGAAAGCCUUCGGCUCAACCGAAGAAGUGCAUUGGAAACUGGGAGACUUGAGUGCAGAAGAGGACAGUGGAACUCCAUGUGUAGCGGUGAAAUGCGUAGAUAUAUGGAAGAACACCAGUGGCGAAGGCGGCUGUCUGGUCUGCAACUGACGCUGAGGCUCGAAAGCAUGGGUAGCGAACAGGAUUAGAUACCCUGGUAGUCCAUGCCGUAAACGAUGAUUACUAAGUGUUGGAGGGUUUCCGCCCUUCAGUGCUGCAGCUAACGCAUUAAGUAAUCCGCCUGGGGAGUACGACCGCAAGGUUGAAACUCAAAAGAAUUGACGGGGGCCCGCACAAGCGGUGGAGCAUGUGGUUUAAUUCGAAGCUACGCGAAGAACCUUACCAGGUCUUGACAUCUUCUGACAGUCUAAGAGAUUAGAGGUUCCCUUCGGGGACAGAAUGACAGGUGGUGCAUGGUUGUCGUCAGCUCGUGUCGUGAGAUGUUGGGUUAAGUCCCGCAACGAGCGCAACCCUUAUUACUAGUUGCCAGCAUUAAGUUGGGCACUCUAGUGAGACUGCCGGUGACAAACCGGAGGAAGGUGGGGACGACGUCAAAUCAUCAUGCCCCUUAUGACCUGGGCUACACACGUGCUACAAUGGAUGGUACAACGAGUCGCGAGACCGCGAGGUUAAGCUAAUCUCUUAAAACCAUUCUCAGUUCGGACUGUAGGCUGCAACUCGCCUACACGAAGUCGGAAUCGCUAGUAAUCGCGGAUCAGCAUGCCGCGG
rnacentral:rRNA from 1 species